rnacentral:lncRNA from 1 species
AUGGCAGCAAGGGCAAAAUUGAAAAUGGCUUCCCCAGAACCUAAGAGCCUGGUCCCUUUCACCAGAGAGUCUCUUGAAGUUAUGGAACAGCAUAGUGCUAAAAAGCCCAGUGAGGAAGACAAAGAAGAUUUAAAGCCAAACUGUGACUUGGAAGUUGGAAAAGAGCUUCCAUUUGUUUAUGGAAAUCUUCCUCAAGCAAUGGUGUCAGAGCCAUUGGAAGAUGUGGACCCAUACUACACUAAUAAAAGGACUUUCAUAGUAUUAAAUAAAAAGAGAACAAUAUUCAGAUUCAGUGCUACCUGGUGUACAUUGUCUCCUUUCAAUUCAAUUAGAAGAGCAACCAUUAAGAUUUUGGUACAUCCAUUUUUCCGACUAUUCAUUUUGGUUAGCGUCCUGACUGACUGCAUAUUUAUGUCUAUGACUGAUUGUCCAAAAUGGGGGCCAGCAUUUCAGAAUACUUUGCUUGGAAUUUAUACAUUUGAAAUACUUGUAAAACUCAUUGCAAGAGGCAUCUGGGCAGGACCUUUUUAUUUCUUUGGUGAUUCAUGGAACUGGCUUGAUUUCAGUGUAACUUUAUUUGAGCAUAUUUCAAGAUAUUCACCUCUAAAUUUCAUUUCCGUAUUUAGAAUUGUGAGAAAUUUGAGAAUUUUGAAAAUUAUUCCUUUAAACCAAGGAAUGAAGUCUUUUGUAGCGAUACUCAUCCAUUGUUUGAAGAAACUCACUGUGGUCACUAUCCUAACUGUCUUUUUUCUGAGUGUAUUUUCUCUAAUUGGGAUGGGGCUCUUCAUGGGCAAUCUGAAGCAUAAAUGUUUGCGAUGGCCCCAAGAAAAUGAAACUGACAUGCUGAAUAAUAGAACUGGAAACCCAUAUUAUAUUCGAGAAACAGAAAACUUUUAUUAUUUGGAAGGAGAAAGAUAUGCUCUUCUUUGUGGCAACAGAUCAGAUGCUAGUCAGUGUCCUGAAGGAUAUGUGUGUGUAAAAGCUGGUGUAAAUCCUGAUGAUGGCUACACAAAUUUUGACAGCUUUGGCUGGGCCUUAUUAGCUCUAUUUCGGUUAAUGACUCAGGAUUACCCUGAAGCACUUUAUCAUCAGAUCCUUUAUGCUUCUGGGAAGGUCUACAUGAUAUUUUUUGUGGUGAUAAGUUUUUGGUUUGCCUUUUAUAUGGCAAGUUUGUUCUUAGGCUUACUUGCUAUAUCCUAUGAAGAAGAAAAGCAGACAGCUGCUGAAAAAGCUACGGUUGAUCAGGAAUUUCAGAAGUCUUUACCAGAACUUCAAGAAGAAAAAAUAACAGCAGAGACCAAGACCAUACAAUUAGAAAUGAAGAAAAGAUCAUCACCUUCUAUGAUUACUUCUUUGGAUGCGCUGGAUGAUGCUACUGUCAGCCAUAAAGAAGAGCUUAAAAAAUCCAGGCAGAGAUGCCCAUUUUGUUGGUAUAGAUUUGCUAAAACUUUCUUGAUCUGGGAUUGUUCUCCCUGUUGGUUAAAAUUGAAAGAGUUUGUUUACAGGAUUAUAACGGACCCAUUUACCGAUCUUUUCCUUACCAUAUGCAUAAUCCUAAACAUAAAUUUUUUGGCCUUGGAACACUAUCCAAUGAGUCUGGAAACCAGCAAUAUUCUCAGCAUUGGAAACAUGGUGUUUAUAGGAAUUUUCACAACAGAAAUGAUUUUUAAAAUAAUUGCCAUGCAUCCAUAUGGAUAUUUCCAAGUAGGCUGGAACAUUUAUGAUAGCCUAAUUGUGUUCCAUGGUUUAGCAGAACUUUAUCUAACAAAUUUUCAUGGACUGGCUAUUUUACGAUCAUUCAGGGUGUUACGAAUUUUUAGAUUGGGAAGAUACUGGCCAACAUUUAAGAUUCUGAUGCUGACUCUGUGUAACUCAGUUGUGGCCCUGAAAGACUUGGUCCUGCUGUUGUUCACGUUUAUGUUCUUUUCUGCUGUGGUUGGCCUCAACCUGUAUGGUUCAAAUUACAAACAGUAUGUCUGCAACAUAAAUGAAGACUGUCAGCUUCCUCACUGGCACAUGUGUGAUUUCUUCCAUUCCUUCCUGAAUGUCUUCCGGAUUCUCUGUGGAGAGUGGAUAGAGACUUUAUGGGAUUGCUUUAAGGUAGCAGGCCAAUUCAGUUGUAUUCCUUUUUACAUGAUGGUGAUUUUAAUUGGAAAAUUAUUGGUAAGUAAUCCAUGCUUUAAAACUUUCCUUGGAAACUUAUGUAUUGUAGUCUGGCAUUUUCAUCAUGUAGACUUA